GGUGCAGCAGGCGCGAAAACUUUGCAAUGCGGGAAACCGUGACAAGGGAACUCUGAGUGCCCGUAAAAUCGGGCUGUCCAUCGGUUUAAAUAACCGGUGAAGAAAGGGUCGGGCAAGACCGGUGCCAGCCGCCGCGGUAAUACCGGCGGCUCGAGUGGUGGCCACUAUUACUGGGCUUAAAGCGUUCGUAGCUGGUUUGUUAAGUCUCUGGGGAAAUCUUCCGGCUUAACCGGAAGGCGUCUCAGGGAUACUGGCAGACUAGGGACCGGGAGAGGUGAGAGGUACUCCAGGGGUAGGAGUGAAAUCCUGUAAUCCUUGGGGGACCACCUGUGGCGAAGGCGUCUCACCAGAACGGCUCCGACAGUGAGGGACGAAAGCUGGGGGAGCAAACCGGAUUAGAUACCCGGGUAGUCCCAGCUGUAAACGAUGCGCGUUAGGUGUAUCGGUGACCACGAGUCACCGAGGUGCCGAAGAGAAAUCGUGAAACGUGCCGCCUGGGAAGUACGGUCGCAAGGCUGAAACUUAAAGGAAUUGGCGGGGGAGCAC
rnacentral:rRNA from 1 species